UACGUAGGAUGCAAGCGUUGUCCGGAUUUACUGGGCGUAAAGCGCGCGCAGGCGGCACAUUAAGUAAGGUGUGAAAUCCAUCGGCUCAACCGGUGGGGUGCACUUUAGACUGAUGAGCUUGAGGUCGGUAGAGGGGGGUGGAAUUGCUGGUGUAGCGGUGAAAUGCGUAGAUAUCUGGAGGAACACCGGUGGCGAAGGCGGCAUCCUGGACCGGCAUUGACGCUGAGGCGCGAAAGCCAGGGGAGCAAACGGG
rnacentral:rRNA from 1 species